UACGUAGGGUGCAAGCGUUGUCCGGAAUUAUUGGGCGUAAAGAGCUCGUAGGCGGUUUGUUGCGUCGGCUGUGAAAUCCCGAGGCUCAACCUCGGGUCUGCAGUCGAUACGAGCAAACUAGAGUGUUGCAGGGGAGACUGGAAUUCCUGGUGUAGCGGUGAAAUGCGCAGAUAUCUGGAGGAACACCGGUGGCGAAGGCGCACAUCUGGCCCGAUACUGACGCUGAGGCGCGAAAGCUAGGGGAGCAAACGGG
rnacentral:rRNA from 1 species